rnacentral:rRNA from 1 species
GGGGGGGGGGGGGGGGGGGCUGGGGGGGGGGGGGGGGGGGGGGGGGGCGCUGGUGUGGGGGGGUGCUCGAGUGGCGAGCGGGUGAGUAACGCGGGAGGAACCGUCCCUUGACUUGGGGAUAACUUCGGGAAGCGGGGGCUAAUACCGGCUGUGGGCUCCUGCUGCCUGUUGUGGGUUGGACAUUUUCGUCGGUUGGGGAUGGCCUCCGUGCUUAUCAGCUUGGUGGUGGGGGAGUGUCUUCCCAAGGCUUUGACGGGUAGCCGGCCUGAGAGGGUGACCGGCCACAUUGGGACUGAGAUACGGCCCAGACUCCUACGGGAGGCAGCAGCGGGGAAUAUGGCACAAUGGGCGGAAGCCUGAUGCAGCAACGCCGCGUGCGGGAUGACGGCCUUCGGGUUGUAAACCGCUUUCGCCUGUGACGAAGCGUGAGUGACGGUAAUGGGUAAAGAAGCACCGGCUAACUACGU